rnacentral:rRNA from 1 species
GGUUUAAUUCGAUGAUACGCGAGGAACCUUACCCGGGCAUUGAACUGCAGGAGAACGAUUCAGAGAUGAUGAGGUCCUUCGGGACUCCUGUGGAGGUGCUGCAUGGUUGUCGUCAGCUCGUGCCGUGAGGUGUCGGCUUAAGUGCCAUAACGAGCGCAACCCCUCUCCGUAGUUGCCAUCGGGUGAUGCCGGGCACUCUGCGGACACUGCCACCGUAAGGUGUGA